rnacentral:rRNA from 1 species
UACGGGGGGGGCAAGCGUUGUUCGGAAUUACUGGGCGUAAAGGGUGCGUAGGCGGUUCGUUAAGUUAGAUGUGAAAACUCUGGGCUCAACCCAGAGCCUGCAUCUAAAACUGGCGGGCUAGAGUUCUGGAGGGGGUAGCGGAAUUCCUGGUGUAGCGGUGAAAUGCGUAGAUAUCAGGAGGAACACCGGUGGCGAAGGCGGCUACCUGGACAGAAACUGACGCUGAGGCACGAAAGCUAGGGGAG